rnacentral:rRNA from 1 species
UAAUACAUCGGAACGUGUCCUUAAAGUGGGGAAUAACGCAUCGAAAGAUGUGUUAAUACCGCAUAUCUCUGAGGAGAAAAGCAGGGGAUCGCAAGACCUUGCGCUAAAGGAGCGGCCGAUGUCUGAUUAGCUAGUUGGUGGGGUAAAGGCUUACCAAGGCAACGAUCAGUAGUUGGUCUGAGAGGACGGCCAACCACACUGGGACUGAGACACGGCCCAGACUCCUACGGGAGGCAGCAGUGGGGAAUUUUGGACAAUGGGCGAAAGCCUGAUCCAGCCAUGCCCGCGUGAGUGAAGAAGGCCUUCGGGUUGUAAAGCUCUUUUAGUCGGAAAGAAAGAGUUGCAAUGAAUAAUUGUGAUUUAUGACGGUACCGACAGAAAAAGCACCGGCUAACUACGUGCCAGC